UACGAAGGGGGCUAGCGUUGCUCGGAAUCACUGGGCGUAAAGCGCACGUAGGCGGAUUGCUAAGUCAGGGGUGAAAUCCUGGAGCUCAACUCCAGAACUGCCUUUGAUACUGGCAACCUUGAGUCCGGGAGAGGUGAGUGGAACUGCGAGUGUAGAGGUGAAAUUCGUAGAUAUUCGCAAGAACACCAGUGGCGAAGGCGGCUCACUGGCCCGGUACUGACGCUGAGG
rnacentral:rRNA from 1 species